rnacentral:rRNA from 1 species
UAAACUGAAGAGUUUGAUCAUGGCUCAGAUUGAACGCUGGCGGCAGGCUUAACACAUGCAAGUCGAGCGGGGAAGAGUAGCUUGCUACUUGACCUAGCGGCGGACGGGUGAGUAAUGCUUAGGAAUCUGCCUAUUAGUGGGGGACAACAUCUCGAAAGGGAUGCUAAUACCGCAUACGUCCUACGGGAGAAAGCAGGGGACCUUCGGGCCUUGCGCUA